AUUGAACGCUGGCGGCAGGCUUAACACAUGCAAGUCGAGCGGGGACUUCGGUCCUAGCGGCGAACGGGUGAGGAAUGCUUGGGAAUCUGCCCAGUAGUGGGGGAUAACGUUUCGAAAGGAACGCUAAUACCGCAUACGUCCUACGGGAGAAAGGGGGGGAUCUUCGGACCUCUCGCUAUUGGAUGAGCCAUAGUCGGAUUAGCUAGUUGGUGAGGUAAAGGCCCACCAAGGCGACGAUCCGUAGCUGGUCUGAGAGGAUGAUCAGCCACACUGGAACUGAGACACGGUCCAGACUCCUACGGGAGGCAGCAGUGGGGAAUAUUGGACAAUGGGCGAAAGCCUGAUCCAGCCAUGCCGCGUGUGUGAAGAAGGCCUUCGGGUCGUAAAGCACUUUAAGCGAGGAGGAAUGGCUCUUGGUUAAUAACCUUGAGCAGUGACGUUACUCGCAGAAUAAGCACCGGCUAACUCUGUGCCAGCAGCCGCCGUAAUAC
rnacentral:rRNA from 1 species